AAUAUUUAUUUGGCAUUUAAAUAAUUAAAAUCAAUUCAAAUAUGCAUUAAAUUAAAUUAUGGUUUUUCAAAUUCCUAAAAUCUCAUCAAAACACAAAAGAAAUGGUCAUGAGAUUUAUCAUAGGUCAAACAAGGUCAAAGGACCUUGGAGAAAAAAUUUCAUCAUUUUUGGAAACUUAAAACUAUUUUUAAACAAUUAAAAUACUCAUAAAAUCAAUUAAAUCAUGAAAAAUAUUAUUAAUGAUCCAAAA
rnacentral:lncRNA from 1 species